rnacentral:rRNA from 1 species
CGGCGGACGGGUGAGUAACGCGUGGGUAACCUGCCUCAUACAGGGGGAUAACAGUUAGAAAUGACUGCUAAUACCGCAUAAGACCACAGCACCGCAUGGUGCGGGGGUAAAAACUCCGGUGGUAUGAGAUGGACCCGCGUCUGAUUAGCUAGUUGGUAAGGUAACGGCUUACCAAGGCGACGAUCGGUAGCCGGACUGAGAGGUUGAACGGCCACAUUGGGACUGAGACACGGCCCAG